UAGAAAUUAACCAAACCGAGUGACUUAAUCUUUGGGUUUUUCACUGUAGCGUCUGACACUGAUUCUGAGAACUCCAGCCAACAGCAACCAAAAGCAUGAGUUCACCCUCCAUGAUGUCACAGUUCAUCUCCUUCUCUGCCAGAAGGCGACAGAGACAAGAUGAGAUGACUGUGCAGACCUGAUACCACCCCCCCCCC